AGAACAGGUUCUUUCAAAGCACCAGACUCCACUUCAGUGAAGGCAGAAACUCCGGAGGAUGUCCUGAGAGAUUUUAUACAGAAUGGAUCCGUGGGUAGAGGUUUCUUGGAUUCUCUGUUUGUUCCCAAUGUAGGAACUGCGAAGAAGAACCAUCAACUAGAGGACAUUUAGUAGUUU